AUUGAACGCUGGCGGCAUGCCUUACACAUGCAAGUCGAACGGUAACAGGUCUUCGGAUGCUGACGAGUGGCGAACGGGUGAGUAAUACAUCGGAACGUGCCUAGUAGUGGGGGAUAACUACUCGAAAGAGUGGCUAAUACCGCAUGAGAUCUACGGAUGAAAGCAGGGGAUCGCAAGACCUUGUGCUACUAGAGCGGCCGAUGGCAGAUUAGGUGGUUGGUGGGAUAAAAGCUUACCAAGCCGACGAUCUGUAGCUGGUCUGAGAGGACGAUCAGCCACACUGGGACUGAGACACGGCCCAGACUCCUACGGGAGGCAGCAGUGGGGAAUUUUGGACAAUGGGCGCAAGCCUGAUUCAGCAAUGCCGCGUGCAGGAUGAAGGCCUUCGGGUUGUAAACUGCCUUUGUACGGAACGAAAAGCCCUGGGUUAAUACCCUGGGGUCAUGACGGUACCGUAAGAAUAAGCACCGGCUAACUACGUGCCAGCCGCCGCCGUAAUAC
rnacentral:rRNA from 1 species